rnacentral:tRNA from 1 species
CGUUAGAUGGCUGAAAGUAAGUACUGGUCUCUUAAACCAUCCCAUAGUAUAUUAACGAAUACUUCUAAUGG